CGAACGGGUGAGUAACGCGUGAGUAACCUGCCUUACACAAGGGGAUAGCCUUUGGAAACGAAGAAUAAUACCCUAUAAAACUAUAAAAGCACAUGCUAGAAUGGUCAAAGUGCUAGCGGUGUAAGAUGGACUUGCGUCUGAUUAGCUAGUUGGUGAGGUAAAAGCUCACCAAGGCAACGAUCAGUAGCCGGCUUGAGAGAGUGUACGGCCACAUUGGGACUGAGACACGGCCCAG
rnacentral:rRNA from 1 species